GAACUAGAUAAGGAGCAUCUUAAAAAAAGCCCUAGAAUCUACUGGAGGAUAAGAUAUAAAACCAGAUGUCUUCUAAAUCAACAGGACAAAGCUGAUGCCAGAAAGGCUUAACACCCAUCACAGUGAAGAACGCAUAAGUGCAAGGAGGGACCCAUAAAAACCACCAGUAUGUGAAAUACUGCCAGACGCUGUGUGGUUGCCAGAGAGAAAGCAUCACCAGACUGGAUUCUCAUGCUGCUUUCUGCAAAACUACUGUGCUGGAUAUUAAUUAAAAUACUUUGUGAAUACUUACAGUGUUC
rnacentral:lncRNA from 1 species